UACGUAGGGCGCAAGCGUUGUCCGGAAUUAUUGGGCGUAAAGAGCUCGUAGGCGGCUUGUCACGUCUGCUGUGAAAUCCCGGGCUCAACCCGGCGUGCAGUGGAUACGGCUGGCUAGAGGCAGGCAGGGGAGAACGGAAUUCCGGUGUAGCGGUGAAAUGCGCAGAUAUCGGGAGGAACACCGGUGGCGAAGGCGGCGACCUGGUCCUUGACUGACGCUGAGGCGCGAAGCGUGGGGAGCAAACAGG
rnacentral:rRNA from 1 species